rnacentral:rRNA from 1 species
AAGUCGUAACAAGGUUUCCGUAGGGUGAGCACACAUCCCCCAUUCAACCCCCAGAACCUCAUACUAACCUUUAUUCUUAGUGAACCUGCGGAAGGAUCAUUAAUGAGAAACGGGGCACUACCCACACCCCCGUGAAAGCGGUGCGGUAGGGCUUUGCCCCCUCCUCCCAAACCCCUGUCUACCGACCCCACACACAAACUAAAGUACAAAUACCAAGUCGUCCCUAGCGGGGUGCACUGCCUUAUAAUGUACAAAAAAACAAAACUUUUAACAACGGAUCUCUUGGUUCUGGCAUCGAUGAAGAACGCAGCGAAAUGCGAUAAGUAAUGUGAAUUGCAGAAUUCAGUGAAUCAUCGAGUUUUUGAACGCACACUGCGCCCCUUGGUAGUCCGGGGGCAUGCCCGUUCGAGCGUCAUUUCACCAAUCAGGCCUGGCUUGGCAUUGGGUACCGGGGGCGACCCGGGCCUCAAAAGUCGUCGGCUGGCAAGCUCUGAUCUCAGCGUCGUGAUUAAUCAAAUUCGCUUUGCAGAGGAGUGAGCCGUGCCGGUUAAAUACUAUCUAAAGGUUGACCUCGGAUCGGGUAGGAAUACCCGCUGAACUUAA